rnacentral:tRNA from 1 species
UGAUGUAGCUCAGUUGGCUAGAGCAGCUGAUUUGUAAUCAGCAGGUCGGGGGUUCGACUCCCUUCAUCA